GUAGUUGCAGCCGAAGCAGACGGGGCAGCGCCAUACAAAUAAUAUAGACCAUCUUUCUCACACCCUCCACCAAUUGUCUUCCUCGUGUGAAGAUCUUAAAAAACACAAUAAGAGGGAAAGAAGGUUACUGAGCAAUUUAAUGAACUAUUU